UACGUAGGGGGCUAGCGUUAUCCGGAAUUACUGGGCGUAAAGGGUGCGUAGGUGGUUUCUUAAGUCAGAGGUGAAAGGCUACGGCUCAACCGUAGUAAGCCUUUGAAACUGGGAAACUUGAGUGCAGGAGAGGAGAGUGGAAUUCCUAGUGUAGCGGUGAAAUGCGUAGAUAUUAGGAGGAAUACCAGUUGCGAAGGCGGCUCUCUGGACUGUAACUGACACUGAGGCACGAAAGCGUGGGGAGCAAACAGGAUUAGAUACCCCCGUAGUCCCUGAGCGGGCU
rnacentral:rRNA from 1 species